rnacentral:rRNA from 1 species
CCUACGGGUGGCAGCAGUGGGGAAUAUUGGGCAAUGGAGGAAACUCUGACCCAGCAACGCCGCGUGAAUGAUGAAGGUCUUCGGAUUGUAAAGUUCUUUUCUAAGGGAAGAAGAAAGUGACGGUACCUUAGGAAUAAGCCUCGGCUAACUACGUGCCAGCAGCCGCGGUAAUACGUAGGAGGCGAGCGUUAUCCGGAAUGACUGGGCGUAAAGGGCGCGUAGGCGGUUUGGCAAGUGAGCAGCGAAACUCCAGGGCUCAACCUUGGAACUACUACUAAAACUGUUGGACUUGAGUACAGGAGGGGCAGCCGGAAUUCCUAGUGUAGCGGUGAAAUGCGUAGAUAUUAGGAGGAACACCAGUGGCGAAGGCGGGUUGCUGGACUGUAACUGACGCUGAGGCGCGAAAGCGUGGGGAGCAAACAGGAUUAGAUACCCCUGUAGUC